CUUAUCUUAGGAGGGAAGAGCAGGAAGCCUUGCUGAAGAAUGGGAAAGUCUGAGCCAAUCUAGCCGGCACAGCCAAGUUCCUGUUUCCAGGCGUGGUCGUUGACAGACGCCACUCGUAACUUACACUGCGGCUCCAGUAGAGAGGCCAAAGCAGGGGUUUCGCCAAAACCAGGCCUUUUAGCGAUCUCCGGAGCAAAAUGCUAUCCCGCAGAUGGUUUUCAUUAAGCAAGGCCCAUCCUAUUCUGUCUAGGAUGCUGAUGUCAUCUAGCAAUGGCUCCCAGGUUAUUCAGGACGUGGAAGAAGGACAUUUCCCCAUUCAUGUGAAUAAUG